AUUUGGAUGAAAACAGGCUGAGCAAGCUGGUGGGCUGGUUUGGUUCAAGCUAUUAUUUGGAAUAGUUCAAUUUGGUUUGAUUUUAGGCUGCUUGUUUCGGUUUGCUAAUGGGCUGAACCCCACAGUUGCAACCUAGAGUCCCCAAGCCACGGUUCAGGCUGCUGGCUGCUUCCAUCGACCAAAUCCCACCUGCGCCUCCUCCCGAGUCCAGGUCCGACCCGGCCCCUCCUCUCCACCCGGCCCGGCGCGCGGCGGCGACCAGGCUCCGCCGCUGCCGCCCCCCGCGUGGCCGCGUACCUCCUGCGGCUGACUCCGCCCCGUCAAUCAGUCCCUCCGUGCGGCGCCCGCAGGCGAGGAUUUCGUCUCCCGCCUCCCGCGUCGGUUCGGGGUGGGGGGAUGGGGGUCGGAGGCUCGCGGGGUGAUCUUCGGCGGUUGGUGCGGCGGGGAUGGGGGAGCGCGGGAGUGGAAUUGCUUGCUGUGUCUCGCGGGCCAGUGCGGGGUCGAGGAGGGUGAGGGCUCCAUUCCCGCAUAUCUUGAAGCAGUACCUGGGAAAGCUCUACUCCAUUCCCGCAGGAGAAAUUCAGCGUUGCAGGGUGUUCAUGUCGUGUGGACUCCCCAGCAACAGAACGACCUGCAGACAGAGUAUUCAGUGUUCCCCAGUGACUUCUCAUGGAUCCUAACUCCUUUCUGAGUUGUUCCGGAUGGGCUGGUGGGUUGGGAAAUGGGUUUUAAUGGGUUGAGCCUGCAGAUAUUUUAUUUGGUUUGGUUUGGUU